rnacentral:rRNA from 1 species
AGUAGUUUGAUCAGUGGCUACGAGGACGAACGCUGGCGGUGUGCUUCACACAUGCAAGUCGAACGAGGUAGCAAUACCUAGUGGCGGACGGGUGAGUAACGCGUGGGAAUCUGCCUUUAGAUGGGGGAUAACGGGUCGAAAGACUCGCUAAUACCGCAUAUGACGAAAGUUGAAAGGAGUAAUCCGUCUAAAGAUGAGCCCGCGUCCGAUUAGCUAGUUGGUAGAGUAAAAAGCCUACCAAGGCGACGAUCGGUAGCUGGUCUGAGAGGAUGAUCAGCCACAAUGGGACUGAGACACGGCCCAUACUCCUACGGGAGGCAGCAGUGGGGAAUUUUACGCAAUGGGCGAAAGCCUGACGUAGCGACACCGCGUGAGCGAAGAAGCCCCUUGGGGUGUAAAGCUCUGUCAGCUGGAACGAAAAAAUGACGGUACCAGCAGAGGAAGCAUCGGCUAACUACGUG